AACAUUCAUUGCUGUCGGUGGGUUUAACUGUGUGGAAGAGCUCACUGAACGAUGAAUGCAA
rnacentral:pre_miRNA from 1 species